GCCACGCGGGGCAGGGGCAAGACCUGCGUCAGACUCAGCACGUGCCGCCCACCUGGUAUAUAAAGGUGGGAGCCCUCAGAGCCCACAGCAUAGGCUGCCUUGUAGGCAAAUUGGCAGCAGUUCGGUUGUGUGUGCCACCACAGAGGCUCAUAGAGGCAGACGUUGAGCUAAAGAAGGGAGGCUUAUAGAGGCAGACGUCAAGCUAGAGAAGGUAGGUGUCCUCAAUGGGGAGGCAGGGUGUGGGAGGUCGUGGGGACAGACUGGCCUACAGGGAGGUGGGUGUUAGGAGAUGCGGAGCCCAGGGCUUGGACUCCAGGACUGGGGAGGAGUUCAGGGCAGAGGCUGGCGGGAAGGCCGGAGAGCCUGCAGAUGAGGGCGGUGCAGCCUGGGCCUAAAGCCCCUUCUUACACUGCAGUUGCUGGGCGCGGCCCCUGGCGUCUGGCACCAGGCACUGAGUGCCCCCACGCCUUCAAGGCUUCAUCUCCCCAAGUUCCUGGGGAGCCAGACUCGCUCAGAACAACGUGGGCCCAGGCCUCUGGGCGCUACUUCCCUGGUCAUAAUACAGGGCAGCGCCUUGUGUCCCCAUCCCAGGUAAAGGGAAAGAGAAGGUAAGGGACCUGCUACCCAGGCUCCCAGUUCUGAUGGGAGACAAGGAUAGCUUUCUUCCUUCCUUGGAGUGCAGUGUACUUCCUUUACAGGGCGGAGUGCAGCUGUCCUUUCCUAACUACAAAUACCUGUUUUUCAGCCUGGAAAAUGAACUCUUCUGGAAACAACGAAAAAUUUGAGGGCAGUACCUCCAGACCUUUCUUCUAUGUGCCGCUCAUGGCCCAGCAGCCUCGCGUGGGUCCCUGGUAUCGGGAUCCUGCCUGUAAUCCCCUCUUCGUUUCUGGGGCAGGAUUACUGAAGCAUAGACUCUGUAAGCAGCUACAGUCCAGUGGAAGACCAAUGCCCUUGCAGCCAGAAGCCCUGGAGUCAAGGCACUGCUCUGCCUUUUACCCCAGAUACUGACUACCAAUUGCAAGGUGGCUUCCUCAUCUAUAGUCUAGAGAUCAUGGCCUGACUUUAACAGCAUGGUGUGAGAAUUAAGUGAACUCAUUUGUAAAUGGUGGUCUGUAACUUGUGUGUAUUGAGUCUGUUACUUGAAACCCUUCCACGUUCACACUGCAUGACUUUGACUUCUUUCCCCGGUGGCAUCCAGACCUUUGGUUGGUGCGUGGGCCAGAAGUUCCCUGGCAUGUUCAUUGCCUGGGACUUCUGGUAUACAGUUUUCUGGCUUAGUCUCAUCUUCCUGAGAUGAGUGUGUAAGCUCUACAGCAAGAAAAAAAACAAACACUGGAAUUCACCUGUUUGAGAACACAGCAUUGCCUGGCUUUCUCAUGGGCUAGAGAUCCUAAUGUCAUCAUAAGUGACCUUCUGAAGAGCUAGACAACAGAAAAAAGUGGAAAUAACUAUCCUAGAAGAGCUAGCUGUACAUGAAAACAAAGUAGCUGUUCUUAGAGCAGUUACUAGUGUUUACACAGAGAUGAUCUGUGAGCUCCAAGUUCUGAUUCUAGAUCACAAAAUCAGAUCCUAAGAUCACAAAGUUUUCUGCUAACUUAGAGACAAAGCAUAAAAUCAAACAAGUUUCCUGAUAUAAUAAAUAUAACAUGCUAAGUUAAAAUAGCCACUAUCAUAUUUAAAAUCUCCUACAUGCCAUUUCAGUCAGCAGAAAACUACAACAAACCAAAAUUAAAAGGGUCUUUUUUAGUUUUUAGGUGGCUCUGGGCUUCCCUUGUGGCUCAGCUGGUAAAGAGUCAGACAAAACUACUGAGUGAUUUUCACUUUCACAUGGUGGCUCAGACCCUGAAGGAGGGCAUGACAACCCACUCCAGUAUUCUUGCUUGGAGAAUCCCAUAGACUGGCAGGCUACAGUACAGGAUCACAAAGAGUUGGAUGCGACAGGAGCAACUUUUUUUUUUUAACUAAAGGUUAACAAAAUAUGCC
rnacentral:lncRNA from 1 species